GUGAGAGUGGUGCAGUGGUUUGAGUGUUGGACUACAACUCUGGAGAUCAGGGUUCGAAUGAAUCCCUGCUUGGCCU